AGGGUUUGAUUCUGGCUCAGAAUGAACGUUGGCGGCGUGGAUUAGGCAUGCAAGUCGAGCGAGAAGUUUACUUCGGUAAAUGGACAGCGGCGAAAGGGACAGUAAUGUGUAGGUACCUACCCCCCGAUCUGGGAUAGCUGCGGGAAACUGCAGGUAAUACCGGAUAAUGUCUUCGGACCAAAGGUGUGAUUCCGUCAGGGGAGGGGCCUGCAUCCUAUUAGCUUGUUGGUGAGGUAAUGGCUCACCAAGGCAACGAUGGGUAGCGGGUGUGAGAGCAUGACCCGCGUCAUUGGGACUGAGACACUGCCCAGACAUCUACGGAUGGCUGCAGUCGAGAAUCUUCGGCAAUGGGCGAAAGCCUGACCGAGCGACGCCGCGUGCGGGAUGAAGGCCCUCGGGUUGUAAACCGCUGUCGUUGGGGAGGAAAUGCAAAAGGGUUAUCCCUUCUGUUUGACCGAUCCAAGGAGGAAGUACGGGCUAAGUUCGUGCCAGCAGCCGCGGUAA
rnacentral:rRNA from 1 species